rnacentral:rRNA from 1 species
GACGAACGCUGGCGGCGUGCUUGACACAUGCAAGUCGAACGGAAAGGCCUGCUUUCCCUUGUGGAUUGCGGGUACUCGAGUGGCGAACGGGUGAGUAACACGUGAGUGAUCUGCCCCCAACUUGGGUAUAAGCCUGGGAAACUGGGUCUAAUUCCCGAUAGGACUGCAGGGUGGUGCCUGUGGUGGAAAACGAUUUUCUAGUGGUUGGGGAUGAGCUCGCGGCCUAUCAGCUUGUUGGUGGGGUAAUGGCCUGCCAAGGCGGCGACGGGUAGCCGGCCUGAGAGGGUGGACGGCCACAUUGGGACUGAGAUACGGCCCAGACUCCUACGGGAGGCAGCAGUGGGGAAUAUUGCACAAUGGGCGGAAGCCUGAUGCAGCGACGCCGCGUGGGGGAUGACGGCCUUCGGGUUGUAAACUCCUUUCGACCGCGAGGAAGCCACCUGGUUGGAAGGGUGGUGACGGUAGUGGUAGAAGAAGCACCGGCUAACUACGUG